rnacentral:piRNA from 1 species
UCCGCAGUGGUAGAAAGGCUCUUUCUUAGG